CACAUAGGCACCAAGCGUUGUCCGGAUUUAUUGGGCGUAAAGAGCUCGUAGGCGGUUCAGUAAGUCGGGUGUGAAAACUCUGGGCUCAACCCAGAGACGCCACCCGAUACUGCUGUGACUUGAGUACGGUAGGGGAGUGGGGAAUUCCUGGUGUAGCGGUGAAAUGCGCAGAUAUCAGGAGGAACACCAGUGGCGAAGGCGCCACUCUGGGCCGUAACUGACGCUGAGGAGCGAAAGCGUGGGUAGCAAACAGG
rnacentral:rRNA from 1 species